rnacentral:rRNA from 1 species
GUGGGGAAUAUUGCACAAUGGGCGCAAGCCUGAUGCAGCGACGCCGCGUGAGGGAUGGAGGCCUUCGGGUUGUGAACCUCUUUCGCCAGUGAAGCAGGCCUGCUCCUUUUUUGUGGGUGGGUUGACGGUAGCUGGAUAAGAAGCGCCGGCUAACUACGUGCCAGCAGCCGCGGUAAUACGUAGGGCGCGAGCGUUGUCCGGAAUUAUUGGGCGUAAAGAGCUCGUAGGCGGCUGGUCGCGUCUGUCGUGAAAUCCUCUGGCUUAACUGGGGGCUUGCGGUGGGUACGGGCCGGCUUGAGUGCGGUAGGGGAGGCUGGAACUCCUGGUGUAGCGGUGGAAUGCGCAGAUAUCAGGAAGAACACCGGUGGCGAAGGCGGGUCUCUGGGCCGUUACUGACGCUGAGGAGCGAAAGCGUGGGGAGCGAACAGG